UUCUGCAGUGAGAGGGGCUUCAGAACACCUAGUGGACCAUGUUUCCAUAAAGAGAAGUCAAUGCCUUAUUUCAUUCAUGUGGAAGCUAACCAAGUUACAUACUUCACCCUGACAAACUGUAAUGGAAACAACAGACAAAAAGAAAAGAUCUGCAGCAUUUGUCACAGACAAAGGCUCAGUGUGCCAGACCAACAGGGCAGAGUUGGCUAUUUGAGCUGGAUCGCACACGCUCCUAGUCACUAGAUCAAGAGGAAUCAGAUGCUGAGCGGAUGGAGAGACUAUAUGAAAUCCUGGAAUUUGACUGGGGCGUAGUUCUGGGGGGUACUUCCCGCCACACGAUGCUUGCAGACGGGGCAAAUGAAUAUCUGUGACCAAGACAGUGCACUGGGAGAGCCUGUGUUACUGUGGUCAACUACUGGCUCCUACUUACAGUAAGAGGAUUCGCCUCCCCACCCCCACUUGACCUUGUGACUUGCUUUGGCUGACAGCCAUGCCCAUGGCAAGGCCCCAACAGGAGCUGCUCCUUUCUCUUUGGUCCUAGAAUGAAGAUACAUGAAGCAAAUCCACAGAUGACAUCAAAUGUAAGUGGAAAUAAACCAGAGUUUGGGGGGUUGUUUCUGCAUCAAAAUGUAGUGAAAACUGAAGGAGAGGUUCUGGAAUUAUCCAACUCUUUGUUUCGUUAAUUAUUCACAUAAGGAGAACAGUAAGACUGAGCCUAGGAAGCAUCAGGUCAAUAUGGCCAAAAGAUUUUGUCAAUUAAAGUUUAAAGAAUCUGAAAGAUGAAGAACUGGCGGCAUGUAAACAAAACAUCUGGAUUACAGACUGAAACUUGGACCGAAGUGAAGACGUUGGCUGCCCUGCAAGUGUUUGACUACAAUCAUCAUGUUAUAAAAAUUCUUAAUGCUUUUGAAUUUAGGAGAAUCCUAGUAAUUAUAACUUGCUUGCACUCUACAUAACUGUAAUGUGUGCUGCAUGUGAUUUUCUCUGGGAGUAAUCAAAUCUGACUUCUCCAAAGAUGAAGCAAAAUUUAAAAGUUUGGUUAGCUGAACGUCUGUGAAUUUAGAGUGGGAUGUUUACCUUCAACUGAUUCAAAUGUUAUUAGGCGUCUCUCCUGUUUUCUAUAAGUUAGUUUUAGAGGGGAUGUGACAGAUGGGUCUUCUGUGUUCUAGUCCUCUCUUUUUACCUACAAAUAAAAAUACGAAGACUUCAACAGGUGCCUCUUUUAAAAAAACAUCAGCAUUAAAACUCACAUAUUCCAAGUCAUUUGUAUAAAUUUCAGGGAAAGCUGCUGAGCUCCUGUGAUCGGUGGGCCCUGAACAGAAGUUGGAUGGGGUCUGUCAGUGUGCUUGUUAGAGCAUCAAUAACCGUGGCCUUUGGGAAGGGAGGCUGAAUGAAGACGGAUGGGUGGCGGGCUCCAUCCAGUCAGACUCUUCCACUGCCAAUUGUGAUGCCGACACAUGUGCCAGCAGCAGCACCACCCAAGUGCAAUGAGCAGGUGGCACAGCCAAACGGCUGUACCUCAUCUCAUUCAACGCCAUCAGUCUUACGGGCUUUGGACUUUGCUGCUGAUUCUUAAUCUGGUGACUCUUAAUUGUUUUAACAGCAUGACAUGCUGCUGUUUAUUGGGCUUUUUCUUGUUUGAAUACAUGCUGGAGUGACAAGAUUGUCUAGAGAAUUAUUCAUAAUGUGGUAAAAUUCAUAGUUUUCUUGUGCCAGUUUCAGGCAUUUUUAACUGCAGUGUUUGGAAAGGUAGCAUGUAUGAGUAGAGUCCUGACAGCGAAAGAGGCACGUUCGAAUCUCCUAAAUAGGAAAAACUUAAGCACACAUAUACCUUAGGCUUCCUUAAACACUCAUAUUCCCUCAAAUAUACACUAUAAACCUACCAUGCAUUAACUUAUUUAAGUGGUUUUUGAUCUCUAUAUGAUUUCAACCUAUACUUCUGUUUCAUUAGGACAAUGAUAGCUGCUAUAACAAAUAAAUCCAACAUUUUGCUUGUUUACUAUAAUGAAAUUGUUUUUCUUGUCUGUGUAACAGUCCAAUGAGAAAUUCCUGGUCAGUAGACAGUUUUCCUCUAACUUGUGACCCAAAGACCCUAACACCUUCCAUCCUGUGGCACCACACAGAUGCCAUGAUUGACACCUCAGAGUAUUCUGUUUCUAACCAGCAAAAGGGCAAGAAGACAGUGGGAUGGCUCAUCUGUCUCUUAAAUCCCCCAGCUAAGAAGUGACAUUCAUCCCUUCCACUCAUAUCUCGCUGGAGAGAGCUGGUUCAUGGCUAGACCUGGAUAUAAACCUGAGCUGGAAAAUGCUGUCCAGAAUUGGGCGACUAUCUACCCAACACCUCCAUAUUGUGGAAGAAGAAGUACCAUUUUGGGUUCACAGCCAGCUCUCUGCCAUCAUCACCUUGUGGGCUAGGAAGCUUUAAAAGUUGUUUCCCAUAUAUUUAAAAACACUAGCCUUCCUUUUAUGCCAAAGUUAUGUUAACUCUAUUUUAAAAUUCAAAUGGUAACUUCUACAUACCGCAUUGAAUUAUUAACCAUCUGACUCCAUCUUUCUAUACAAACAAUUAGUAUUCUAGUUCUCAAAGCAUUGUUGUCUAACACCUGCAAAUGAAAAUUCAUCUAAUUACUACUAGGCUCACUUGCAGAGUUUCCAUCUACACUCAUGAUUUGGGGUUGAGGAAAACCAUGGUAUGGUGCUAAUUGUACACUCCUUGUCUCAGACACCAUAAAAAUGUUAAAUUUAAUGACCUCAUAAACUUAUUGCCCAGGAAAAAAAUCCAGAUAGUUUCCAAUUAUUCAUUCAUUUAUUUGGAAAUAAUCAUUAUCCUCCUACUAGACGCCAGACAUAAAGUCUCAUUUUUAUUUCUACCAGUGUAAAAUAUUUAAUUACCCAUGAUUAAUUUUUAAUGUAAAUUUGUCAAAAAUUUUUCCAAAAGGACAUCAAUUGUAUUAACUGAUUCUGUACCCCUCCCUCCAACAUGUGGACCUAGUUAUUCAUCUCUUCAAAACCUUGUGGCUUACUGGUCAACCAGAGAGCCAUUCGCCCAGAAAGCUCCAUGUAUUAAAGUGAGAACACUUAACUGGUUUUUCUGGUGUGGAGCAAUGACUCACAGACUCAGAGGCCAUACUCUUCACCACCCUCCCCCACUCCUUCUUGGAACUUCCGCUCAUCCAUCACUUCUUUAGCCUUUUGGGGGGCGGGGGGCAAUUACUGAACAAAAGCAUACCUGUCACUGUCCCCUGGCCUUCCCAUGGUGUCUUUCUCAGAGAGGCACACUUUGAGAAAUGGGGAAAGAUCAAUGACUAUAAUAAGUCAGUUUGGUUUCUAGUUUUUUUUAUUUUUGUGGGGUUUUUUUCCUGUUUGUUUUCAACUAAAUUGAAGGAGAACUUAAUUGAAUUGUCAUCUGAUAGAACAUUAAAAGCAAUUUUUGAUGACAGAUUAUAAUAUGAUUUCU